rnacentral:misc_RNA from 1 species
GAUGAAGAACGUAGCGAAAUGCGAUACUUGGUGUGAAUUGCAGAAUCCCGUGAACCAUCGAGUCUUUGAACGCAAGUUGCGCCCGAAGCCAUUAGGCCGAGGGCACGCCUGCCUGGGCGUCACACGUCGUUGCCCCCCCAUCUACUCCUUCGGGAUUGCGGGGGGCGGAUGAUGGCCUCCCGUGCGCCUCGCCGCGCGGUUGGCAUAAAUGCCAAGUCCUCGGCGACGCACGCCACGACAAUCGGUGGUUGCGAAACCUCGGUUGCCCGUCGUGUGCGGUCGUCGCGCAUCGAGGGCUCGAAAAAAUUGCCGGGUUCCGGCUCGGCUUUCAACGCGACCCCAGGCCAGGCGGGGUUACCCGCUGAAUUUAAGCAUAUCAAUAAGCGGAGGA